UGGGGGAUAUUGCGCAAUGGGGGCAACCCUGACGCAGCAACGCCGCGUGAAGGAUGAAGGUUUUCGGAUUGUAAACUUCUUUUAUUAAGGACGAAACUUGACGGUACUUAAUGAAUAAGCUCCGGCUAACUACGUGCCAGCAGCCGCGGUAAUACGUAGGGAGCAAGCGUUGUCCGGAUUUACUGGGUGUAAAGGGUGCGUAGGCGGCUUUGCAAGUCAGAUGUGAAAUCUAUGGGCUCAACCCAUAAACUGCAUUUGAAACUGUAGAGCUUGAGUGAAGUAGAGGCAGGCGGAAUUCCCCGUGUAGCGGUGAAAUGCGUAGAUAUUCGGAGGAACACCGGUGGCGAAGGCGGCCAACUGGGCUUUAACUGACGCUGAGGCUCGAAAGUGUGGGGAGCAAACAGGAUUAGAUACCCUGGUAGUCCACACUGUAAACGAUGAUUGCUAGGUGUGGGGGGUCUGACCCCUUCCGUGCCGGAGCUAACGCAAUAAGCAAUCCACCUGGGGAGUACGACCGCAAGGUUGAAACUCAAAGGAAUUGACGGGGACCCGCACAAGCAGUGGAUUAUGUGGUUUAAUUCGAAGCAACGCGAAGAACCUUACCAGCACUUGACAUCCAACUAACGAAAUAGAGAUAUAUUAGGUGCCCUUCGGGGAAAGUUGAGACAGGUGGUGCAUGGUUGUCGUCAGCUCGUGUCGUGAGAUGUUGGGUUAAGUCCCGCAACGAGCGCAACCCUCGCCAUUAGUUGCUACGCAAGAGCACUCUAAUGGGACCGCUACCGACAAGGUGGAGGAAGGUGGGGACGACGUCAAAUCAUCAUGCCCCUUAUGUGCUGGGCUACACACGUAAUACAAUGGCCAUCAACAGAGAGAAGCAAUACCGCGAGGUGGAGCAAAACUUCAAAAAUGGUCUCAGUUCGGACUGCAGGCUGCAACCCGCCUGCACGAAGUUGGAAUUGCUAGUAAUCGUGGAUCAGCAUGCCACGGUGAAUACGUUCCC
rnacentral:rRNA from 1 species